rnacentral:rRNA from 1 species
GACCUCAGAUCAGGUAGGACUACCCGCUGAACUUAAGCAUAUCAAUAAGCGGAGGAAAAGAAACUAACAAGGAUUCCCCUAGUAGCGGCGAGCGAAGCGGGAUGAGCUCAAAUUUGUAAUCUGGCGUCCUCCGGGCGUCCGAGUUGUAAAUUAAAGAAACGUUUUCCGCGCCGGCCGUGUCCAAGUCCCCUGGAAUGGGGUAUCAAAGAGGGUGACAAUCCCGUGCUUGACACGACCACCGGGGCUAUGUGAUACGUUCUCUACGAGUCGAGUUGUUUGGGAAUGCAGCUCUAAAUGGGUGGUAAAUUCCAUCUAAGGCUAAAUAUUGGCGAGAGACCGAUAGCGAACAAGUACCGUGAGGGAAAGAUGAAAAGCACUUUGGAAAGAGAGU